rnacentral:rRNA from 1 species
GAUGAACGCUGGCGGCGUGCCUAAUACAUGCAAGUCGAGCGAACGGACGAGAAGCUUGCUUCUCUGAUGUUAGCGGCGGACGGGUGAGUAACACGUGGAUAACCUACCUAUAAGACUGGGAUAACUUCGGGAAACCGGAGCUAAUACCGGAUGAUAUUUUGAACCGCAUGGUUCAAAAGUGAAAGACGGUCUUGCUGUCACUUAUAGAUGGAUCCGCGCUGCACUAGCUAGUUGGUAAGGUAACGGCUUACCAAGGCAACGAUGCAUAGCCGACCUGAGAGGGUGAUCGGCCACACCGGAACUGAGACACGGUCCAGACUCCUACGGGAGGCAGCAGUAGGGAAUCUUCCGCAAUGGGCGAAAGCCUGACGGAGCAACGCCGCGUGAGUGAUGAAGGUCUUCGGAUCGUAAAACUCUGUUAUUAGGGAAGAACAUAUGUGUAAGUAACUGUGCACAUCUUGACGGUACCUAAUCAGAAAGCCACGGCUAACUACGU